rnacentral:tRNA from 1 species
CGGGACGUAGCUCAAGGGUCAGAGCGGCUGGCUCAUAACCAGCAGGCUGUCGGUUCGAAUCCGACCGUCCCAACUA